ensembl:lncRNA
GAUUUAUUUAGUCGUGGUUGGAGUAAAGAGACAGGGGAGGAGAUGGUGUAAAAGCAUUGCUAAUAAGCAUAAGCUGGCUGGCUGCUAAAUCCUUUUCAAGAAUUGAAGCUUUUGCUGUCCCACUGCCUUUCAGUCAAAUUACAGAGAAUGACGAUUUGGAUGAUUAGGUCUGUGAUGAAACUGGUUAUAGAAGCUAUUUCAGAACCCACAGUGGUUCCCACUUAAAUCAGAACACGAAGACCUGCCAAAGAUACUCUAUCUAAAACUAUUUCAACUCGUUCCGGUCUUCUGCACAUGUCAAUAUUCUCUCCUUCACAAAGAAUUUUCCAGAGCAAACCUUACAUGCUAUGAUGCUGAUGACAACAACAAAGAAGAGGAGUUGGAUGGUGUUUUCCUCCAUCACGAUGAAAACUAAAACAGGGCUCCCUGUGACUGAGUGAGCCAAGAAUAAGAAGAAAGAUGGUGUUUUCAAGCAUACAGACUGAAGAGGAAAAUCCCCCAAUUUUUCAUAAGUAACCAGUAAGAGAAUGGUGGGAAUUUGCUGAUGAAGUGAUGGUAAAUGCUUAACAAUGUCUCUCUAGGGGAAAAAAAUGUGUGCAUAUAUGGCUAUACUAUGUUUAUAGAUUUAAUAUAAAUUGUAUUGAUAUAAAG